rnacentral:rRNA from 1 species
CCUACGGGAGGCAGCAGUGAGGAAUAUUGGUCAAUGGGCUUACGCCUGAACCAGCCAAGUCGCGUGAGGGAAGACUGCCCUAUGGGUUGUAAACCUCUUUUGUCAGGGAGCAACGCCGGCUACGUGUAGCCGGACUGAGAGUACCUGAAGAAAAAGCAUCGGCUAACUCCGUGCCAGCAGCCGCGGUAAUACGGAGGUUGCGAGCGUUAUCCGGAUUUAUUGGGUUUAAAGGGUGCGUAGGCGGAAUGCCAAGUCAGCGGUAAAAUCGCGGGGCUCAACCUCGCUCCGCCGUUGAAACUGGCGGUCUUGAGUGGGCGAGAAGUAGGCGGAAGGCGUGGUGUAGCGGUGAAAUGCAUAGAUAUCACGCAGAACUCCGAUUGCGAAGGCAGCAUACCGGCGCCCAACUGACGCUGAAGCACGAAAGCGUGGGUAUCGAACAGGAUUAGAUACCCCAGUAGUC